UACGUAGGGGGCAAGCGUUGUCCGGAAUCAUUGGGCGUAAAGAGCGUGUAGGCGGUCCGGUAAGUCGGUUGUGAAAGCCCAGGGCUCAACCCUGGGAUGCCGACCGAUACUGUCGGACUAGAGUUCGGAAGAGGCGAGUGGAAUUCCCGGUGUAGCGGUGAAAUCCGUAGAUCUACGAAGGAACGCCAAAAGCGAAGGCAGCUCUCUGGGUCCCUACCGACGCUGGGGUGCGAAAGCAUGGGGAGCGAACAGG
rnacentral:rRNA from 1 species